rnacentral:rRNA from 1 species
UACGUAGGGGGCAAGCGUUGUCCGGAUUUAUUGGGCGUAAAGAGCGUGUAGGCGGUUUGGUAGGUCCGUUGUGAAAACUCGAGGCUCAACCUCGAGACGCCGAUGGAAACCAUCAGACUAGAGUCCGGAAGAGGAGAGUGGAAUUCCUGGUGUAGCGGUGAAAUGCGCAGAUAUCAGGAGGAACACCAAUGGCGAAGGCAGCUCGCUGGGACGGUACUGACGCUGAGAGACGAAAGCUAGGGGGAGCGAAUGGG